rnacentral:rRNA from 1 species
AUUAAUACCCCAUAAUAUUAUUGGAUGGCAUCAUUUGAUAAUUAAAACUGCGGUGGUGAAAGAUGGGCAUGCGUCCUAUUAGCUACUUGGAGUGGUAACGGCACCCCAAGGCUACGAUAGGUAGGGGUCCUGAGAGGGAGAUCCCCCACACUGGUACUGAGACAGGGGACCAGACUCCUACGGGAGGCAGCAGUGAGGAAUAUUGGUCAAUGGUCGGAAGACUGAACCAGCCAUGCCGCGUGCAGGAAGAAUGCCUUAUGGGUUGUAAACUGCUUUUAUAUGGGAAGAAUAAGGCGUACGUGUACGUUGAUGACGGUACCAUAUGAAUAAGCAUCGGCUAACUCCGUGCCAGCAGCCGCGGUAAUACGGAGGAUGCGAGCGUUAUUCGGAAUCAUUGGGUUUAAAGGGUCUGUAGGCGGGCUAUUAAGUCAGGGGUGAAAGGUUUCAGCUUAACUGACGAAAUUGCCUUUGAUACUGGUAGUCUUGAAUACUCUGUG